rnacentral:rRNA from 1 species
UGGGGAAUAUUGGACAAUGGGCGAAAGCCUGAUCCAGCAAUGCCGCGUGUGUGAAGAAGGUCUUCGGAUUGUAAAGCACUUUCGACGGGGACGAUGAUGACGGUACCCGUAGAAGAAGCCCCGGCUAACUUCGUGGCAG